CUUUUCAGACACUUGUGUCUACUACUGACUUUACCACUACUGACUCUACUACUACUACUUUCUCUACUACUACUACUGACUCUACUACUACAGACUCUACUACUACCGACUAUACUAGUACUGACUCUACUACUACAGACUCUACUACUACAGACUCUACUACUACAGACUCUACUUCUACCGACUCUACUACUACUGACUCUACUUCUACCGACUCUACUACUACAGACUCUACUACUACUUUCUCUACUACUACUACUACUGACUCUACUUCUACCGACUCUACUACUACAGACUCUACUACUACUGACUCUACUACUACCGACUCUACUACUACCGACUCUACCAGUACCGACUCUACCAGUACUGACUCUACUACUACUACUACUGACUUUACUACUACUGACUCUACUACUGCUUUCUCUACUGCUACCGACUCUACUACUACCGACUCUACUACUACUGACUCUACUACUACCGACUCUACUACUACCGACUCUACCAGUACCGACUCUACCAGUACUGACUCUACUACUACUACUACUGACUUUACUACUACUGACUCUACUACUGCUUUCUCUACUGCUACCGACUCUACUACUACCGACUCUACUACUACCGACUCUACUACUACUGACUCUACUACUGCUUUCUCUACUGCUACCGACUCUACUACUACCGACUCUACUAGUACCGACUCUACUACUACCGACUCUACCAGUACCGACUCUACUACUACCGACUCUACUGCUACUGACUCUACUACUGACUCUACUAGUACCGACUCUACCAGUGCCGACUCUACCAGUACUGACUCUACUACUGACUUUACUACUACUACUGACUUUACUACUACUGACUCUACUACUGACUCUACUACUACUGACUCUACUACUACCGACUUUACCACUACUGACUCUACUACUACUUUCUCUACUACUACUACUGACUCUACUUCUACCGACUCUACUACUACAGACUCUACUACUACCGACUCUACUACUACCGACUCUACCAGUACCGACUCUACCAGUACUGACUCUACUACUACUACUACUGACUUUACUACUACUGACUAUACUACUGCUUUCUCUACUGCUACCGACUCUACUACUACCGACUCUACUACUACCGACUCUACCACUACCGACUCUACUACUGACUCUACUACUACUGACUCUACUGCUACUGACUCUACUACUGACUCUACUGCUACUGACUCUACUACUGACUCUACUAGUACUGACUCUACCAGUACCGACUCUACUACUGAUUCUACUACUACUGACUUUACUACUACUACUGACUCUACUACUGACUUUACUACUACUGACUCUACUACUGACUUUACUACUACUGACUCUAUUACUGACUCUACUACUACUGACUCUACUACUACUGACUCUACUAGUACCGACUCUACCAGUACUGACUCUACUACUGAUUCUACUACUACUGACUUUACUACUACUACUGACUUUACUACUACUGACUCUAUUACUGACUCUACUACUACUGACUCUAAUAGUAGUCAGUAGUAAUAGAGUCAGUAGUAUAAAACCCUACAAGCUGAAACUGAGACUUGAGCAUUUUUUCUCUCAGCCCACUGCUUUCUGUCCUUCUUCACCUGCCACACCUAGGAAACACAUUCUCUCUCUCACACACACACACACACACACACACACACACACACACACACACACCUCCUCUUUUCUGUGA
ensembl:lncRNA